rnacentral:rRNA from 1 species
UACGAAGGGGACUAGCGUUGUUCGGAUUUACUGGGCGUAAAGCGCGCGUAGGCGGAUCGCUAAGUCAGGGGUGAAAUCCCAGGGCUCAACCCUGGAACUGCCUGUCAGACUGGAUUGCUUGAGUCCGGGAGAGGCGAGUGGAAUUCCCAGUGUAGCGGUGAAAUGCGUAGAUAUUGGGAGGAACACCAGUGGCGAAGGCGGCUCGCUGGACCGGAACUGACGCUGAGGCGCGAAAGCGUGGGGAGCAAACAGG